UACGGAGGAUCCAAGCGUUAUCCGGAAUCAUUGGGUUUAAAGGGUCCGUAGGCGGUCAGAUAAGUCAGUGGUGAAAGCCCAUCGCUCAACGGUGGAACGGCCAUUGAUACUGUCUGACUUGAAUUAUUAGGAAGUAACUAGAAUAUGUAGUGUAGCGGUGAAAUGCUUAGAGAUUACAUGGAAUACCAAUUGCGAAGGCAGGUUACUACUAAUGGAUUGACGCUGAUGGACGAAAGCGUGGGUAGCGAACAGG
rnacentral:rRNA from 2 species